rnacentral:rRNA from 1 species
UCGGGAAUUUUGGGCAAUGGGCGAAAGCCUGACCCAGCAACGCCGCGUGAAGGAUGAAGUAUUUCGGUAUGUAAACUUCGAAAGAAUAGGAAGAAUAAAUGACGGUACUAUUUAUAAGGUCCGGCUAACUACGUGCCAGCAGCCGCGGUAAUACGUAGGGGCCAAGCGUUGUUCGGAUUUACUGGGCGUAAAGGGCGCGUAGGCGGCAAUUCAAGUCAUCUGUGAAAUCUCCGGGCUUAGCUCGGAACGGUCAGAUGAUACUGCUUUGCUAGAGUGCAGAAGGGGCAAUCGGAAUUCUUGGUGUAGCGGUGAAAUGCGUAGAUAUCAAGAGGAACACCUGAGGUGAAGACGGGUUGCUGGGCUGACACUGACGCUGAGGCGCGAAAGCCAGGGGAGCAAACGGGAUUAGAUACCCCCGUAGUCCCUGAGCGGGCUGGCAAGGCGCAU